AUUGAACGCUGGCGGCAGGCCUAACACAUGCAAGUCGAGCGAGAAAGGUCUUCGGGCUGAGUACAGCGGCGGACGGGUGAGUAACGCGUAGGAAUCUACCUGGUAGUGGGGGACAACAUGGUGAAAACCAUGCUAAUACCGCAUACGCCCUAUGGGGGAAAGCGGGGGACCUUCGGGCCUCGCGCUAUCAGAUGAGCCUGCGUAGGAUUAGCUUGUUGGUGAGGUAAAGGCUCACCAAGGCGACGAUCCUUAGCUGGUCUGAGAGGAUGAUCAGCCACACUGGAACUGAGACACGGUCCAGACUCCUACGGGAGGCAGCAGUGGGGAAUAUUGCGCAAUGGGCGAAAGCCUGACGCAGCCAUGCCGCGUGUGUGAAGAAGGCCCUUGGGUUGUAAAGCACUUUUGUUCGGGAAGAAGUCAUGUCGGUUAAUACCCGAUGUGGAUGACGGUACCGAAAGAAUAAGCACCGGCUAACUUCGUGCCAGCAGCC
rnacentral:rRNA from 1 species